AGAGACUUUGUCAUGAGAAGAGCCAUGAAAGAAGGCUUCAGAAAGAAAGCUAUCUAGGUCUGGAUCUUCAUUUUUGAGUUGAUGGUGCUCUUUGAAAAGACAUCCGAUUCCUCUUCCUAGAGAGAGACAAGAGAGGACUUCUUGGGGAGAUAGUCUAAGAAAAGGGAAGCUCAUCCACCAAGAAUAGAGCAUCAUUGCCAUUUGCUAAAGGAUGAGAAUUUCAGGGAGAGAAGCUGCCAAUUAUAGAUAGGGGGAGUAAAGACAGAAAUAUCUUCUGAGAACAGCUGGGAAUGAAGAGCCAGGAAGGGAGAUCCCAGAUAGGAUGGACUAACUUUUAAGGACUCUUCCUGGAGCCCUACCCAAGACUAUUGCUAAGUGAUGGACUCUAAAAUAAAGAUUACUUGGUGGCUAUGAUUGUUUUACUUUGGAUACGAAUAUCAACUUUAUUAACUGGUGCAGGAAGUAGAGUUGCCGACCUAGAAGCUUGAACCAUGGAGACAUUGGGGUCCAUGGUUCUAGGUCUGAUAUUGUUGCCAGGCCAUCAGGGAAGCACUGAGAAGCUAGAGUCCAGCCCACUGUCACAGUUGUAG
rnacentral:lncRNA from 1 species